rnacentral:rRNA from 1 species
GCUCGUAGUUGGAUUUGUGGUUGGGUUCGUCGGUCCGGCACAUUGUGCGGGUACUUGAUGGACUCGUCCAUCCUUGGGUGGAAUCUGUGUGGCAUUAAGUUGUCGUGCAGGGGAUGCCCAUCGUUUACUGUGAAAAAAUUAGAGUGUUCAAAGCAGGCUUAUGCCGUUGAAUAUAUUAGCAUGGAAUAAUGAGAUAGGACCUUGGUACUAUUUUGUUGGUUUGCGCACCGAGGUAAUGAUUAAUAGGGACAGUUGGGGGUAUUCGUAUUCCAUUGUCAGAGGUGAAAUUCUUGGAUUUUUGGAAGACGAACUACUGCGAAAGCAUUUACCAAGGAUGUUUUCAUUAAUCAAGAACGAAAGUUAGGGGAUCGAAGAUGAUUAGAUACCAUCGUAGUCUUAACCAUAAACUAUGCCGACAAGGGAUUGGCGGUCGUUGUAUUGACUCCGUCAGCACCUUAUGAGAAAUCACAAGUCUUUGGGUUCCGGGGGG